CCCAAACCCACACUCACACACUAGUGACUGCAACGUUUGGGUGAGGAAAGUUGUCGUAACCAUCGCUCUCUCCAAGUGACACUGAAGCAAAAUCCUUACAGACGUAUGGUUCCUCUGCACAAAUCACUCUGAUGGACAAACCGGGACCUAGAAGCCAGGGAAAGGGUGUCGAGAGACGAUCUCUUCUGGCAGGCCCAGCUCCCUCCCCAGCGCUCUGACCUCAUCCUUGUGGAAAUCUUUCAGCGGUUCGAUUACUUUUCCCUGGAGGAUCACAAACAAGUGGAAUCAGCAUUGCAACAGUGAAAGGAGACGAGGAUGAGCUUAGGUGUUGCAUAGUUGUGCAUUUAUGAAGAAGGGUUGAGCAAAAAAAUCAUCCAGAAAACAAAACAAAAAAGCAAUUGAUAUACUGAACAGGAAAGAGUUUGUCUGCUCAUUAGCUUCAGUGCUGUCAAAGAGAGUUUGAGUGUCCUUUUUUUGGACCUAGUAAUUCAUUCUCUUUAAAAUAGGACUCAAGUUUCUCCCGUCUUUCCUGUCUCUCUCUCAACUGGCUACAUGAUCUGCUGACUUCCUGCUUACGAUCCAUGGCUCGAGUCUAAUGAUAAGUCUACUGUAUUGAUAAACAUUGAAGAAGACACGUUCUCAUAUUCGGUGUAAAGUGGUGAAACACUAAUGUUUAUAAACAGAAUAUCCUGAUGUAACUAGUCCCAGACUAGUUAAAAAUGCCCCAGAAGAUGUGUAUAUCUGCGAGGAAAGUUUAAUUCAAACAUCUGUGACUCAAAUCUCCCUCCUGUGGUAUGAUGUAAUAGUAUUACUAAAUAUGAAUGAGAAAACCUGCAGAAAAUAUGUGAUAAUAUGCAGGAGUGUGGGAAUUCAUCUUGUUUUAAUGACUGAGCAUAUCCCCUGACAUGUUUAUGGGCUCUAUGUGUAAUAAUUGUUAAACAGCAGACUACUGUAUAUGCAAAUGCAGUGGUGAACCGUCUAACCUCACUGACUGAUGAACAAUGCCCCUCAGUAGAAUCUGUCUACGCCCACUGGAAAGUCUGCAUUUUUACGAUCAUUGAACAUGACUGAAGACUCAUUUUAACCGUUUUUGUUGUUCAUUUUCCCGCUACAAGCUCUGAAACACGUGAAAACUGAACAGUAUCAAAUCUAUGUCAUGUCCAUACUCUGCAGCAACAAAACUUGAAAAUGAUGACAGGCAUGUGAAGCAAUACCUCGUCUCUGAGUUUGCGGAUGAGCUCCGUGUCGUUGUGGUGUGUUUUGAUGACCUCUGCUUUGCCGCUGGCGAGAUGAGAGGCACUCUCGAUGAGAUCGGGCCUCAGGGUACCCUGGGCCAGUAAAACCUCUUCUGGCUUCAGGUUCAUCUCGCCUAUCACUUCAUUGGCCACCUGUGAAAUUACACAAUUCAUCAAGUCAACUGUAACAGUAAACUUGUAAUUCAAAGACAAUCGAUAAAGAACUAAUACCGGUAGGUGAACGAAUGUGUAGUAAAACAGCUGAACAUACAAUGGGAUAAACAACAACAUGUAUAGUAUAGUAACCAAGCUGUAUGACAGACAAAUUAUUUAGUACUUUUCACAAAUAAUCGAUUAAACCCUUGUACUCACUUUGA